rnacentral:rRNA from 1 species
UACGUAGGGACCAAGCGUUGUUCGGAUUUACGGGGCGUAAAGGGCGCGUAGGCGGCAAUUCAAGUCAUCUGUGAAAUCUCCGAGCUUAACUCGGAACGGUCAGAUGAUACUGCUUUGCUAGAGUGCAGAAGGGGCAACCGGAAUUCUUGGUGUAGCGGUGAAAUGCGUAGAUAUCAAGAGGAACACCGGAGGUGAAGACGGGUUGCUGGGCUGACACUGACGCUGAGGCGCGAAAUCUAGGGUAGCAAACGGG